CGGCGAGCUUAAACCUGCUCCUCGAACGAAGUGGCGGACGGGUGAGUAACGCGUGGGUAACCUGCCUCAUACAGGGGGAUAACAGUUGGAAACGACUGCUAAUACCGCAUAGUAUGGGAUGGACCCGCGUCUGAUUAGCCAGUUGGCAGGGUAACGGCCUACCAAAGCGACGAUCAGUAGCCGACCUGAGAGGGUGACCGGCCACAUUGGGACUGAGACACGGCCCAAACUCCUACGGGAGGCAGCAGUGGGGAAUAUUGCACAAUGGGGGAAACCCUGAUGCAGCGACGCCGCGUGAGCGAAGAAGUAUUUCGGUAUGUAAAGCUCUAUCAGCAGGGAAGCGGUACCUGACUAAGAAGCACCGGCUAAAUACGUGCCAGCAGCCGCGGUAAUACGUAUGGUGCAAGCGUUAUCCGGAUUUACUGGGUGUAAAGGGAGCGCAGGCGGUGCGGCAAGUCUGAUGUGAAAGCCCGGGGCUCAACCCCGGUACUGCAUUGGAAACUGUCGUACUAGAGUGUCGGAGGGGUAAGUGGAAUUCCUAGUGUAGCGGUGAAAUGCGUAGAUAUUAGGAGGAACACCAGUGCCGAAGGCGGCUUACUGGACGAUAACUGAC
rnacentral:rRNA from 1 species